GAUGAACGCUAGCGGCAGGCUUAAUACAUGCAAGUCGAGGGGCAGCACGGGGGCAACCCUGGUGGCGACCGGCAAACGGGUGCGGAACACGUACGCAACCUUCCCAUAACUGGUGAAUAGCCUUUCGAAAGAGAGAUUAAUACACCGUAACAUAAUGAAGAGGCAUCUCUUUAUUAUUAUAGACUUCGGUCGGUUUUGGAUGGGCGUGCGCCUGAUUAGGUAGUUGGCGGGGUAACGGCCCACCAAGCCUGCGAUCAGUAACUGGUGUGAGAGCACGACCAGUCACACGGGCACUGAGACACGGGCCCGACUCCUACGGGAGGCAGCAGUAAGGAAUAUUGGUCAAUGGACGCAAGUCUGAACCAGCCAUGCCGCGUGAAGGAUGAAGGCCCUCUGGGUUGUAAACUUUCUUUUAUCUGGGACGAAAAAAGCUCAUUCUUGAGCACUUGACGGUACCAGAGGAAUAAGCACCGGCUAACUCCGUGCC
rnacentral:rRNA from 1 species